GUGGCGAGCGGCGGACGGGUGAGUAAUGCAUAGGAAUCUGCCCGGUAGUGGGGGAUAACGUGGGGAAACCCACGCUAAUACCGCAUACGUCCUACGGGAGAAAGCGGAGGAUCUUCGGACUUCGCGCUAUCGGAUGAGCCUAUGUCGGAUUAGCUAGUUGGUAAGGUAACGGCUUACCAAGGCGACGAUCCGUAGCUGGUCUGAGAGGAUGAUCAGCCACACUGGGACUGAGACACGGCCCAGACUCCUACGGGAGGCAGCAGUGGGGAAUAUUGGACAAUGGGCGAAAGCCUGAUCCAGCCAUGCCGCGUGUGUGAAGAAGGCUUUCGGGUUGUAAAGCACUUUCAGCGAGGAAGAAAGCCUCUGGGCCAAUACCCCAGAGGAAGGACAUCACUCGCAGAAGAAGCACCGGCUAACUCCGUGCCAGCAGCCGCGGUAAUACGGAGGGUGCGAGCGUUAAUC
rnacentral:rRNA from 1 species